GCGCCAACUUCCUCCAAGCCUAUCCUUUCAUUUUAUCACCCCUUUUAUGCUUUAUUUUAUGCUCUCCAUGAAUUAGAUAAGGGAAGGGGCGUCCAAGAGUUGGAUGCCCCAUGGACUCCUUGUUAGAAUAGGUCUUAUGACCUAGUCCACCUUAUAUAAAGUUGCUGCCCCAUAUGGUAAGAAUAAAAAGUCAAAAAAUCAUUGGAUUAUUGAUAGAAAAACUAGAGG
rnacentral:lncRNA from 1 species